AUGUUCUCAGAGAGUGUGUCUCCGUCCACAGGUAUCACAUUCCCUCCAUGUUCUGAGCCAGAAGCAGCUUCAACAGAGGGCAAUCCUGCAGGAAUGGGAGUAUUCUCUGAGAAACUAUCUCCUACAGCAGGUAUCACAUUCCCUCCAUGUUCUGAGACAGAAGCAGCUUCAACAGAGGGCAAUCCUGCAGGAAUGGGAGUGUUCUCAGGGACACUAUCUCCUACAGCAGGUAUUGUUUCUUCUCUGUGUUUUGUGAUCAUGUUUGCUUCCACAGAGGGCAAGCUCAUAGUAUCCAGAAUGUUCUCAGAGAGUGUGUCUCCUUCCACAGGUAUCGCAUUCCCUUCAUGUUCUGAGACAGAAGCAGCUUCAACAGAGGGCAAUCCUGCAGGAAUGGGAGUAUUCUCUGAGAGACUAUCUCCUACAGCAGGUAUCACAUUCCCUCCAUGUUCUGAGCCAGAAGCAGCUUCAACAGAGGGCGAUCCUGCAGGAAUGGGAGUACUCUUGGAGAGACUCUCUCCUACAGCAGGUAUUGUGUCUUCUCCAUGUUUUGUGAUAAUGUUUGAUUCUAGAAAGAACAAGCCUGUAGUAUCCAGAAUGUUCUCAGAGAGUGUGUCUCCUUCCACAGGUAUCGCAUUCCCUCCAUGUUCUAAGACAGAAGCUGCUUUGACAGAGGGCGAUACUGCAGGAAUGGGAGUACUCUCAGAGAGACUCUCUCCUACAGCAGGUAUUGCAUUCCACCCAUGCUCUGAGGCAGAAGCUGCUUUGAUAGAAAGCAGUACUGCAGGAAUGGGAGUAUUCUCUGAGAGACUCUCUCCUACAGCAGGUAUCUAUGUUUUGUGAUCAUGUUUGAUUCCACAGAGAGCAAGUGAACAGUAUCCAGAAUGUUCUCAGAGAGUGUGUCUCUUUCCACAGGUAUUGCAUUCCACCCAUCCUCUGAGACAGAAGCUGCUUUGACAGAGGGCGAUAUUGCAGGAAUGGGAGUACUCUUGGAGAGACUCUCUCCUACAGCAGGUAUCUAUGUUUUGUGAUCAUGU
rnacentral:lncRNA from 1 species